rnacentral:rRNA from 1 species
UACAGAGGUCCCAAGCGUUGUUCGGAUUCACUGGGCGUAAAGCGUGCGUAGACGGCUAUCUAAGUCGGGUGUGAAAGCCCCGGGCUCAACCUGGGAAUUGCAUUCGAGACUGAAUAGCUAGGGUGCGGUAGAGGGAAGCGGAAUUUCCGGUGUAGCGGUGAAAUGCGUAGAUAUCGGAAGGAACAUCAGUGGCGAAAGCGGCUUCCUGGACCAGCACCGACGUUCAGGCACGAAAGCGUGGGGAGCAAACAGG